rnacentral:rRNA from 1 species
GACGAACGCUGGCGGCGUGCUUAACACAUGCAAGUCGAACGGUGAAGGGGUCUGCUUUUGUGGGCCCUGGAUGAGUGGCGAACGGGUGAGUAACACGUGAGUAACCUGCCCCCUUCUUCUGGAUAACCGCAUGAAAGUGUGGCUAAUACGGGAUAUUCUGGGUCUGUCGCAUGAUGGGUCUGGGAAAGAUUGCGCCUUUGGGUGUUUUUGGUGGGGGAUGGGCUCGCGGCCCAUCAGCUUGUUGGUGGGGUGAUGGCCUACCAAGGCGGUGACGGGUAGCCGGCCUGAGAGGGUGGACGGUCACACUGGGACUGAGACACGGCCCAGACUCCUACGGGAGGCAGCAGUGGGGAAUAUUGCACAAUGGGCGCAAGCCUGAUGCAGCGACGCCGCGUGAGGGAUGGAGGCCUUCGGGUUGUAAACCUCUUUCGCCAGUGAAGCAGGCCUGCUCCUUGUGGGUGGGUUGACGGUAGCUGGAGAAGAAGCGCCGGCUAACUACGUG